CCACAUCUGCAGAAACACAAGAAGCAAUCAAAGGCAGGACUGUGUGAGUGCACUCACAGCAUUGAAUCAUAGUAAUUAAAUACACCUCUUUCUCACUCUCCCUUGGCAAGCACUAUGAGUGCCCUAAACGUGGUGAGUUUGGCCCAUGGGGGGGAUGGGGGAAGAUCCAAGAUGGGGCAAAAUGUCUGGGUGGUUUUGGAAGAGAAUCACUGCAAGCAACUAGAGACACUACUGUAAAUUCUGUCACCAUUUUCCAUAAGCAGGGAUCAUUGAAGCUGAUACUUCAUUCCUGAGGGUAAACAAGAAUACAAUAGUGCAUCUCCUGCGUACGUGUGGCUUCAGAUUGGGUCCCUAUGCUGAUUGCCUGUGUGCUGCUUUGAUCCCUGCACAAGUGAUUGCCAAUUGAUGCGGGAAAUUUUCCUACAGCAGGGUAAGAAACAAAGCAGCUCUGUCAAGGAACCUUCAGCAGAGAAUUGGCAAGUACCUCCAGGAAAGUUUCCUAGCUAUCCCUCUGGAGGACUCCUGUGAAAUCUUGGUGUGCAUUAACACUUUUCCACUGGGCCUCCUGUGACACACUGUACCUCAAAGUAGCACCCUGUAACCCCUUGUAAAGGGGCGGUCACCCCGCUCCAGCCCUAAAAGGGUUAAAAGCCAGUCCUUGGAGGGGGCUGGGGCUGAAAACCAAACAUAGAAGGCUGGGCGGCAGCCAAUCAGGGCCAGGCUGGGCCCUAUAAAAGGGCUGCAGGGCCAGAAGGCAGUCAGUCUUUCUCCAGCUUUGCAGAGAGAUGGACCUGCCUGCCUGAAGGAAAAAAGGGUACUUUGGACAGCGCAGUGCUGGGGAAGGGCAGGAGGAGCUGGGGAAGCUCUAGCCUGGCAAACCCCCAGGCAGGGGCCUUGUUUUAAGGGCUGGAGGAGGUCCUAGGGCUGUGGGGAAGCAGCCACAGGAGGAAGAGGUAGCAGGUCCAACCCCGUUGCCAAUGAUGAGUGGCCACUUCAGACUGCAGUUUGCCCCUGAGGGAAGGGGCUAGAUGAAGACUGGCAAUGGGUCACUGAGGCAAAAUGGGCUUAGAGGAUUGGGGUUCCCCAGGGCAGUACACAAGAGAAGGGGCACCGCAGGCCAGGAGGGAUGCAGGGCCUGAAGUUCAGUGGUGGAGAUUUAUCAGGAAGCAGGAGAGACACCGGCCAGCAGGAGGUGCUCUGAGGUUGGGAUGAGCUAAUUCCUGGACUAACCAGAAGGAGGUGCCGUGGUGGUGAGUCCUGACCCCAUUACACCCCCUAUUCUUCAUUCAUAUAUGGCUGUGAUAUAUCAUACAAAGCAUGCCAUUUAAGAUACCAUAUGAAAGGUCAUGAUCUGCUGAAACUCAUUGUUUGUCAAAAUAUGUAUAUCGUUAGUGUGGAUGAAGUUAUGAGAGCCUGUUAUAUGGUUAUUAAUGAAAUACGUUGUGGGUUUGGGAGUCGCCCACGGCUAGUUCUCCAGUGACAACAAAGGAGGUAACCCACACCCAGGGCAUUAAACGACCGCAAGGGUGUCAUAAACAAGGAAUUUACAAUUAUGUAAAUUGUGCCUUGUUGUGCAAGUACCACAUAAUCUGGAUUGCUCAACUCUAUGACACAGUUGCACAAGGCCACACCAGUGGGAUUGCUCAGGCCUUGCUGAGUCACAGAGUACCAGUCACAGAGUUACCGGAGUUCUUGCAUCUGCAGAAGUGAGGGGGUUUACCCACAAAAGCUUAUGCCCAAUUAAAUCUGUUGGUCUUUAAGGUGUCACCAGACUCCUGAUUGUUUUUGUGGAUACAGACUAACACGGCUACCCCCAAUACUAGAGUUACCAGGAUAUGUCUGAGCUAGUACUUUCCAGGCACAUUGACUGAGGGUAUAAAAUAAGGGACAGUGGCAUCAUACAAUUACCUUUCUCCUCCCCCACCUACACUGACGGCAACAAGAACAGUGGGAAGACAAGACUUGAACUGAGGAGCCUGGUCCCAGGCUGAGGAGGAAAGUCAGCCUGUGUAUUAAGGAUUGUAACCUGCCUGCAACAUCCAGUGAGAUCCUUCAUCUGAUGAAAAACUGGGAAUUCUACAACAGGACUCUGGAAAACAAAUUGUGAAACACAAGGGAAUGGACACAGUUGUGAGCCAAUCAUUCUAAACUUAUUUAAUCAGCAACAGCAGUCCAGCAGCUGCUCAAAGCAUUCAUCAAUGGCUGUGAUAGCUCCUGCACCUGCUUGUUCCCAGCUCUGCUCCAG